rnacentral:lncRNA from 1 species
UUGUAGUCACCUUAAGCUACCAAUUAGCUAUUAAGGUUUCAUUAUUUCGAGUCAAAUGGUACUUUACCAUUUCCUUGAGUAUAUAUCAUAUAUAUACACUCAUUGUAGUCAUAAGGAUUUUCAUUCUUAGUUCUUUCGAAUUAAGAGGUGCAACUCUAUGACUUAGUCAUAAAGUUCAAAAACCAUUCAACUGAGACGGUUUAUAAAUCCUUAUCGACUACCUUGGAGCUUGAGGUAUAGGAACUAGGUUGUUAUAUUUGUUGAUUACUUUCUUGUCUCUCAAAGAACCAUUCUUUGAGUUCUAUCCCUCGUUCAUUUGCUCUUAGGCAAAUCACAUUGUAGGAUUACAAUGAACUACCCAACAAAACAACAUUUGUUAGUUGGUUUAUAGAAGCUAUAUCAAAAAGUUAAUUUAAGGAUAUCCCACAAGAUUAUUAUCAAACAAAUAUUGCUUAUAAGCACACAACCCCAAAUCUUAACAUGCUUAAGAUUUGUCUUU